GGGGGCGUACCGGUUUCGACGGGGGUGUGGAGGCAGGAUAAGCGGGCGGAGGCGCCUGGCCUCCAUAAAACGGGCAACUUAUAAAUUAAAGAACAACAACACUGUUGCUGUCGCUGCCUAAUUAAGGCAGCCGUCUGAACCGGAGCGGCCGCGGGCCGGGGAAGGCGUCGUGAACGCGGCGUCCGUGAGGCGGGAAAGAGUUGACCCGCCCACGCAUCAUGACUCUACUGAAGCGUAAGGUCUGUCAGGUGUCCUUACGCGGAGGGAAUGCUUAGAUCCUGACUGCGCCCGGAGAAAGUCCUGUUCAAGCGCUUUCGGACGCGGGUUCGACUCCCGCCGCCUCCACCA
rnacentral:tmRNA from 1 species